rnacentral:rRNA from 1 species
AUGUGGUUUAAUUCGACGCAACGCGAAGAACCUUACCAGGUCUUGACAUCCCUUGACAGCCUCAGAGAUGAGGUGUUCUGGCUUCGGUCAGACAAGGAGACAGGUGGUGCAUGGUUGUCGUCAGCUCGUGUCGUGAGAUGUUGGGUUAAGUCCCGCAACGAGCGCAACCCUUAUUCUUAGUUGCCAGCAUUAACGGUGGGCACUCUAAGGAGACUGCCGGUGAUAAACCGGAGGAAGUGGGGAUGACGUCAAAUCAUCAUGCCCUUUAUGACCUGGGCUACACACGUGCUACAAUGGCCUAUACAAAGGGUAGCGAAGCUGUGAGGUGGAGCCAAUCCCAAAAAGUAGGUCUCAGUUCGGAUUGUAGGCUGCAACUCGCCUACAUGAAGUCGGAAUCGCUAGUAAUCGCGGAUCAGCAUGCCGCGGUGAAUACGUUCCCGGGCCUU